CAGUAGCCGCGGUAAUACGUAGGGUGCGAGCGUUAAUCGGAAUUACUGGGCGUAAAGCGUGCGCAGGCGGUUCGUUAAGACAGAUGUGAAAUCCCCGGGCUUAACCUGGGAACUGCAUUUGUGACUGGCGAGCUAGAGUAUGGCAGAGGGGGGUAGAAUUCCACGUGUAGCAGUGAAAUGCGUAGAGAUGUGGAGGAAUACCGAUGGCGAAGGCAGCCUCCUGGGACAACACUGACGUUCAUGCCCGAAAGCGUGGGUAGUAAACAGGAUUAGAUACCCCCGUAGUCCCUGUCUCUUAUAC
rnacentral:rRNA from 1 species